CUUGCCAACUCAGUUUUAGUAUAACAUGCAGCAACAGAAAGCUUCCAAUCGUGAUUUCAUAAUCUUUGCUUCAAUUUUGGGAAAUUUCUUGCUUCAAGCAUCUAUUAGGUUGGAUUUUCAGUCACAAUAAAGAAAUCCAUCAUAUACUACUUGCCAAAAAUAGGCAGGUUCACUGUUUUCAUGGUUUUCUUUAGUCCAAACUAAAGCAUGGAGUAUUUUACUAUUUUUAUGCUGAGCAUAGUUAUGCAGUAAUCAUUUACCAAAUGUUCUUGUCAUCUUGAUCCAUGUUUGCAUAACACCUUGUGUCCUGCUUUUUCAGGAACAUCAUAUACAAACAAAACAUGGACCUGUAUCUGUUGCUGUGUAUGGUGACCAUGAUAAGCAUGCCCUUAUUACUUAUCCAGAUGUUGCUUUGAACCAUAUGUCUUGCUUCCAAGGACUACUAUUCUGCCCGGAGGCUGCCUCACUGCUGCUCCAUAAUUUUUGCAUUUACCAUAUAAGCCCCCCUGGACAUGAGUUAGGAGCCACUCCGAUUUUACCAAACAGUCCUGUGGCAUCAGUUGAUGAGUUAGCGGAUCAGGUUGCAGAAGUACUUGAUUUCUUUGGAUUGAGUUCUGUUAUGUGCUUAGGUGUCAGUGCUGGUGCAUACAUUCUUACUCUCUUCGCAACAAAGUAUAGGGAGCGUGUGCUAGGUCUUAUCCUCGUUUCACCUCUAUGUAGAACUCCCUCAUGGACUGAGUGGUUUUAUAACAAGGUGAUGUCGAAUUUGUUGUAUUAUUACGGGAUGUGUGACGUUGUGAAGGACUGUUUGUUGCAGCGUUACUUUGGCAAGAGAGUGCGAGGAGGCUCUGCUAUACCAGAAUCUGAUAUUAUGCAGGCGUGUAGAAGUUUCCUAGAUCAACGGCAAAGCAUGAAUAUAUGGCGGUUUAUCCAAACAAUCAAUCAGAGACAUGACUUGACAGAAAGCCUGAAGCAUCUGCAGUGCAGAACUCUGAUAUUUGUCGGUGAGAACUCGCAGUUCCACACUGAAGCUGUUCACAUGACUGCAAAACUUGAUAAGAGAUACAGUGCUCUCGUUGAGGUGCAAGCGUGCGGGUCCAUCGUGACGGAGGAGCAGCCGCACGCGAUGCUGAUACCAAUGGAGUACUUCCUCAUGGGAUACGGCUUGUUCAGGCCGAGCCAUGUGAGCUCUAGCCCUCGCAGCCCUUUGAACCCGUUCUGCAUAUCGCCGGAGCUCCUCUCGCCCGAGAGCAUGGGCGUGAAGCUGAAGCCGAUCAAGACGCGGGCCAAUCUCAGAGUGUAGGUACAUAUAUGGAAGAAGAAGAAGAAGAAAAGGUUGGACGUGUGAGGGGCUUUAGGCUAACCCGGCGAUCGGCAAUACUGAUGGCAUGUCUGCCCUGAUUUUGGCGUUGAAAUGGGGAGAAAUGUUGUAACUGUGAUGUAGAUAUAGAGAAGAGUUUUAGGGUGGUGAGGUUGGUUGGUUGGUUGGUGGUGGGGUUCUAUUCCAUUGAUUCGUGGUAGUAUUAAACAGUUGUAAAUGGUCACAGAUUGUUUGUCAAAGCAAAAGGAAUAAUGAUAAUAAUAAAGGGAGGCUGGUGAGGUGCUGUCCGAUUAGGUGCUCCACUUCGCCUGUACCCUUGGUUUCCUUUUAUGAGCUAGACUGGUGAACCAUUGUUGUCUCCUGAAGCAAAGUGUUAUAUAUUCAACCAUCGUUGUCUUCUGAAGCAAACUUGCAUCAAGGCCAGGGCCCAGCGCGAUCCGAAUUCUUGUGGCUAGGACAAAAGUUAUCAGUUGUGGACUGUCAAGACCUGCCCCAAGCUCGACUGAAGUAAUUAAUAAUUUUCAUCCAGAAAUUUGCAAAUUUGAAAGGAUUUUAGUCAAAUUUACAAAAUAUAUGUUCGACAUAAUGAAGAUGUUGACACGUGUUGCGUUUGUCAACCUGUGGUUGGAUGGUUAGGAUCUAGGAGUAUAGUGGUAUUCCCAGCGCGGCAGCG
rnacentral:rRNA from 1 species